rnacentral:rRNA from 1 species
UACGUGAGGAGCGAGCGUUGUCCGGAAUUACUGGGUGUAAAGGGUGCGUAGGCGGCCUUGUGGGUCAGGCGUGAAAUAACAUGGGGCUUAACCCAUGGACUGCGCUUGAAACUAUAAGGCUUGAGUGAAGUAGAGGCAGGUGGAAUUCCCGGUGUAGCGGUGAAAUGCGUAGAGAUCGGGAGGAACACCAGUGGCGAAGGCGGCCUGCUGGGCUUUAACUGACGCUGAGGCACGAAAGCAUGGGUAGCAAACAGG